AAAGUAGUCUUUUAAGCUACUUUCAUGUGUUUUCAGGUUUAAAGGACAUAUUACAUGAACUGAGGCAAGUUGGAGCUUUUGGAGCAAAAUAUGGGCUUGGAUUGAAAAAGACAUGCUUGGAACACAAGGUUGGGAUGGAAUUGAAGAUUUGAGGUUUCCUACUUGAAGUAGGAAAGCUAAGCCUAAAAGUUUCCAUUUUGGGUUGAUCUUUCCUAAAUCGGAAUUGGCAAUCAAAGUUUCUAAAGUUGGAAGUUUCUAUUCUUGGAGGUUUCCAUUUUCAUGAGUUUCUAUUCUCGGCUUUGGGCUUUUGGAUGACCCAUCCUCACUUCUUGGA
rnacentral:lncRNA from 1 species